ACUCCUACGGGAGGCAGCAGUGGGGAAUAUUGGACAAUGGACCAAAAAGUCUGAUCCAGCAAUUCUGUGUGUUUGAUGAAGGCCCUCGGUUGUAAAGAACUUUCAGUGGGGAAGAAGCAAGUGACGGUACCCACAGAAGAAGCGACGGCUAAAUACGUGCCAGCAGCCGCGGUAAUACGUAUGUCGCAAGCGUUAUCCGGAAUUAUUGGGCAUAAAGGGGCGUCUAGGCGGUCUAAUAAGUCUGAUGUGAAAAUGCGGGGCUCAACUCCGUAUUGCGUUGGAAACUGUUAGACUAGAGUUUUGGAGAGGUAGGCGGAACUACAAGUGUAGAGGUGAAAUUCGUAGAGAUUUGUAGGAAUGCCGAUGACGAAGGUAGCUUACUGGACAAAUACUGACGCUGAAGCGCGAAAGCUAGGGGAGCAAACAGGAUUAGAUACCCUGGUAGGUCAGUC
rnacentral:rRNA from 1 species